AGCUUUGCACAGUGGCAGUAUCGUAGCCAGUGAGGUUUAUCUGAGGCGCGGUUAUUGCUAAUUGAAAAUCAAUAAGAAGAAGACAAAUUGUUCAAAAAUUGUGUUGUAAUUGUUUUGGGGAAAAGUAUCUGAGUUCUUAUUUUU